rnacentral:rRNA from 1 species
GCGUGCGCAGGCGGUUGUGUAAGACAGAUGUGAAAUCCCCGGGCUCAACCUGGGAACUGCGUUUGUGACUGCACAACUAGAGUACGGCAGAGGGAGGUGGAAUUCCGCGUGUAGCAGUGAAAUGCGUAGAGAUGCGGAGGAACACCGAUGGCGAAGGCAGCCUCCUGGGCCAGUACUGACGCUCAUGCACGAAAGCGUGGGGAGCAAACAGGAUUAGAUACCCUGGUAGUCCACGCCCUAAACGAUGUCAACUAGUUGUUCGGUGAGGAGACUCAUUGAGUAACGCAGCUAACGCGUGAAGUUGACCGCCUGGGGAGUACGGCCGCAAGGUUAAAACUCAAAGGAAUUGACGGGGACCCGCACAAGCGGUGGAUGAUGUGGAUUAAUUCGAUGCAACGCGAAAAACCUUACCUACCCUUGACAUGCCAGGAACUUGCCAGAGAUGGCUUGGUGCCCGAAAGGGAGCCUGGACACAGGUGCUGCAUGGCUGUCGUCA